rnacentral:misc_RNA from 1 species
CUCUUGGUGGUCUUUGGGUUGAUUGCCCUUCUUUUUGACCCGAAUACUCAUCAUAUCUUCAAUGGCACGAAGGGAUGGUCUAAUCUCAGUCCAUAUUUGGACCCUAUGAAUUUUUUUAUUGGCAUUCAACUGUUUCUCUUCAUUUUCAGUAAGAUCUUCAGGCAAAACAUCAGAGCCAGUCUUCUCACUGCUUAAAACAUCUCCUUCAACACCAUUCGCUAAACCAUUGUUGGUCUCCUGCUCCAUUUUUUCAGAAUGUGAUGCCUUGUUAUCUUCCUCCAAAGAUGAACCGUUUGCAGAAAAUCGUUCAGACUCCACUUGCCGCUCCAGGAAACUCGUCCACCUAUCUGAUCUUUCCUCUUCUUCCUCCUUGUAGAUAUUAGCAUAUUCUCUGUAUCUUUGUACAUGCUGAGGUCUCACUGCAAAUCCAUAUGCAUCCCUCUU